ACUCCUACGGGAGGCAGCAGUGGGGAAUAUUGCACAAUGGGCGCAAGCCUGAUGCAGCCAUGCCGCGUGUGUGAAGAAGGCCUUCGGGUUGUAAAGCACUUUCAGUCGUGAGGAAGGUAGUGUAGUUAAUAGCUGCAUUAUUUGACGUUAGCGACAGAAGAAGCACCGGCUAACUCCGUGCCAGCAGCCGCGGUAAUACGGAGGGUGCGAGCGUUAAUCGGAAUUACUGGGGCGUAAAGCGCAUGCAGGUGGUUUGUUAAGUCAGAUGUGAAAGCCCGGGGCUCAACCUCGGAAUAGCAUUUGAAACUGGCAGACUAGAGUACUGUAGAGGGGGUAGAAUUUCAGGUGUAGCGGUGAAAUGCGUAGAGAUCUGAAGGAAUACCGGUGGCGAAGGCGGCCCCCUGGACAGAUACUGACACUCAGAUGCGAAAGCGUGGGGAGCAAACAGGAUUAGAUACCCUGGUAGGAUAGCG
rnacentral:rRNA from 1 species